GAUGAAGAACGUAGCGAAAUGCGAUAAGUAAUGUGAAUUGCAGAAUUCAGUGAAUCAUCGAAUCUUUGAACGCACAUUGCGCCCGCCAGUAUUCUGGCGGGCAUGCCUGUUCGAGCGUCAUUUCAACCAUCAAGCCCCCGGCUUGUGUUGGGGACCUGCGGCUGCCGCAGGCCCUGAAAACCAGUGGCGGGCUCGCUAGUCACUCCGAGCGUAGUAAUACAUCUCGCUCAGGGCGUGCUGCGGGUUCCGGCCGUUAAAAAGCCUUAUUUACCCAAGGUUGACCUCGGAUCAGGUAGGAAGACCCGCUGAACUUAAGCAUAUCAAUAAACGGAGGA
rnacentral:misc_RNA from 1 species